GCUACGUUUAUUUCUUCGCGGCGUCAAAACCUUCUGGCUAAGUCAGAGACUUUGCUUUUAUUUUGUAGUAUUUUCUUUUAAUUUUCACAAGUCCACAUCUCAUUUUCAUCUCUCAUCAUUACAACUUCCGGCGAAAAUUCCCAAUUCCUGAGGCAAGAGCCCUAAUUUCAAUAUGGUUUGUAUAAUGUGUUUGGUGCCGCUGUUCCUCGUCCCGCUCAUCAAUCUACUCCCCCGGAUCAUCGAUUUCUUAAUGGCCAAAGUGUAUGGAUGGCUCGGAUGGGAGUACAGGAAGCCAGCGAGAGUUCCUCCAUCUUGUCCUUUCAAGCCGAAUGACAACAAAGUGACUGCUGAAGCUGGAAGUGAAGGUAGAGAAGAAACAAUAGCUAAACCGGUCGUUGCGGGGGAGAGUGGCGGGGUUAAGCAGGAUUGAAGGCUUGAGUCCUCCUUUUCAAAUAAAAAGCUUUUGAUAUUAUGUGGAUAAGAGAAGAACCUUGUGGAAGAAAUUUACACAAAAUCAUGUUUCUCUUUGUUAUAACAGCCCCUUCGUUUUCUUCAAUGGUUAUUAUUAUCACACAAAAAUGUAGAGAAUAUAUUAUAAUUUGAAAAUAUUUGUUUAUCUCCA